rnacentral:rRNA from 1 species
ACGUAGUUUGAUCCUGGCUCAGAAUCAACGCUGGCGGCGUGCCUCAGACAUGCAAGUCGAACGAUUAAAGCUCUCUUCGGAGAGUGCAUAGAGUGGCGCACGGGUGGGUAACACGUAAGUAAUCUACCUUCGAGUGGGGAAUAACGUCCGGAAACGGGCGCUAAUACCGCAUAAUGCAGCGGCAUCGCAAGAUGACAGUUGUUAAAGGAGCAAUCCGCUUGAAGAGGAGCUUGCGGCAGAUUAGCUAGUUGGUAGGGUAAUGGCCUACCAAGGCUACGAUCUGUAACCGGUCUUAGAGGACGGUCGGUCACACUGACACUGAAUAACGGGUCAGACUCCUACGGGAGGCAGCAGUCGGGAAUUUUGGGCAAUGGGGGAAACCCUGACCCAGCAACGCCGCGUGAAGGAUGAAGUAUUUCGGUAUGUAAACUUCGAAAGAAUAGGAAGAAUUAAUGACGGUACUAUUUAUAAGGUCCGGCUAACUACGUG